CCCUACUUCCGCUGUGUUUCAGGCUUUCCAUCAGUACCGGUUUCUUUUCCAUGACUUUAUUUGUGCACAACGGGUUCAUAAUAAAAGGGGUGAUACAACUAUAGUGGUGGAUAUACGCUGGAUUUUCCCGCUCCUUUCUUGCAUUCCACUGGAUUCAGAGAGGUACGUGUCCACAGCAGUGCAAUGUGAACUUGAAAUAUACCUGUUCUAACUUUAAUUUUAGUGUAUAUGGUAACUUGUAAAUGUAUUUCAAGAUGAGUGGACUUAAAUUUAGUCAUUGUCGAGAACAUUUAUGUUCUGUGAUCUUAGUUGUUAGCUAACCUCGUGGUUUACGCUCGCCAUUCUAUCUUCGUGUAGUAUAGCCCAAAUGUUUCAGUUGUCCUUUUUCUUAUGUUAGGCUGGUUCCUUCCGUGAAGAUAGAGUACUGAAUCUUUGCUCUCGUUGAACGUGUACAGCCUACAGAAUAAAGUGCCAUAAAAGAACGUCAGCGUCCUGUCUUCAGUGCACUGGAACACAACGCAGUAGUCGGCGAUAUGCAGACCGCGCCGGCUACAUUGGUGCCGUGACCCGGAUCUCAUCGCUUCAGAUCAUCGCCAGGGUUAUCGCCGGAGGUUGCAGUAACGAGUAGGAACCUCUUCGGGACGUUGACAAGUACUUGGUCUACUGUUAUUUAAUGUGUAAAUUGUAAUUCUUAAUUGCCUCUAUCUCACCUAGUAUAAUUUUACAUUGUGUUUUUCUUUUGCUUUCUCGAUAUUUGCGUUUGUUCCUUAUUCAUAUAUUAUUACCAUAGUCUAACACAUGACAACCUUUGCAAAAAUGACUGAUGGUAAGGAUGUGCAGAAACCUCUUAGUCGUGGGGAAGCUGUGCUGUUAAGCCUAGGUAGGGGUAGGCUGAUGAGUAGGGUGGAGUGCACGCCGGUUAAAGGGGCUGGUGCACGAGGCAAACCUGUGCUCUCUUCCACACACUAACACACUGAUGCACAUUCCCCCGCACUGCAUAUGCGUAGAUUAGGGGAUGCUUCAGACAUUGGUAGUGGUGUUAGCCCAGUGGCCCGCCCUGUAUUCUCAUACCCUCACACGCAUACAGAUGAACAUUCUCCACGUCAGCCAGUGUCUAGUCCAGAGGCGCGUUCCUCAGACCUAGGGAACCUCAUUACACAAUUAGCAUACGAGAUAGGGGAGAACACUGCUAGCCAACUUAACAGAUCUAUGGGUAGCACAGAUAGUCAGAAAACUCCCACAUCUAGUCUGAAUU